UGGGGAAUAUUGCACAAUGGGCGCAAGCCUGAUGCAGCCAUGCCGCGUGUAUGAAGAAGGCCUUCGGGUUGUAAAGUACUUUCAGCGGGGAGGAAGGGAGUAAAGUUAAUACCUUUGCUCAUUGACGUUACCCGCAGAAGAAGCACCGGCUAACUCCGUGCCAGCAGCCGCGGUAAUACGGAGGGUGCAAGCGUUAAUCGGAAUUACUGGGCGUAAAGCGCACGCAGGCGGUCUGUCAAGUCGGAUGUGAAAUCCCCGGGCUCAACCUGGGAACUGCAUUCGAAACUGGCAGGCUAGAGUCUUGUAGAGGGGGGUAGAAUUCCAGGUGUAGCGGUGAAAUGCGUAGAGAUCUGGAGAAAUACCGGUGGCGAAGGCGGCCCCCUGGACAAAGACUGACGCUCAGGUGCGAAAGCGUGGGGAGCAAACAGG
rnacentral:rRNA from 1 species